AAAUUGAUGAAGAAGGUUUCCUCUCUCUUGAGGAGACUGACCUCAUCAACUUGAUUCCAAAAACAGGACCAAGGUCUAGAUUUAGAAAAAAACACAUCACAUUUCUAAAGAUACGGCAGCAACCCAAUUAUGACAAGCACAGUCAAGAUACCACGUCGUUAUCAACCUCCAUUGAGGACUUCGAGAGUUCCUCAGGAAAUGUUACUGGUGAGAUGGUCAACCAAGAGUCUUGUCAAAAGGCCAUCAUAAAACCCAGAAAUCAACCUCCUAAACAAGCAGAGACUAAAAGGU